rnacentral:rRNA from 1 species
AUACGGAGGGUGCAAGCGUUAAUCGGAAUUACUGGGCGUAAAGGGUGCGUAGGUGGUUUGCUAAGUCGGAUGUGAAAGCCCCGGGCUUAACCUGGGAAUUGCAUUCGAUACUGGUAGACUAGAGUUUGGUAGAGGGUAGCGGAAUUCCAGGUGUAGCGGUGAAAUGCAUAGAUAUCUGGAGGAACAUCAGUGGCGAAGGCGGCUACCUGGACUGAAACUGACACUGAGGCACGAAAGCGUGGGUAGCGAACAGGAUUAGAUACCCUGGUAGUCCACGCCCUAAACGAUGAGAACUAGACGUUUGAUUCAUUUUAGAAUUGAGUGUCGAAGCUAACGCGUUAAGUUCUCCGCCUGGGGAGUACGGCCGCAAGGUUGAAACUCAAAGGAAUUGACGGGGCCCGCACAAGCGGUGGAGCAUGUGGUUUAAUUCGAUGCAACGCGAAGAACCUUACCUGCCCUUGACAUCCUCGGAACUUGUCAGAAAUGAC